AUGUAAGGACAGCUCUGUACACUUAAAAGACUGGGCACAACUGGGACGACUUGAGUGAAAGAGGAGGAACAGAAAGAGAGGGGAAGCCCGAGAGUUGUCCUGAGUCUCUUCAAGGGUCUGAGCUCCACUGAGCUUCUCUUGGCUCUGUUCUGUCCAGCUCCUUCCCUGCAGCUUCAGAGUCAAGCCUCUUCCCAAAAUCCACGCUGUUUGGCAUUGAUCCUGCAGCCAAAGAGAGCUCCUUUAGCAGUGGAAUCUGCCCAAGAGGCAAUGGCAAUGGGGCUGCCCUGGUGACUGCAGUGGGCUCUGGCACUGAUGGAGUUCAGCGAGGUCCUUUUGCUCAGGGUGAAUCAGGGAGCACUUGACAACCCAGAGCAUCUGCAAGAGCUCCUGAGGCUCCUCUCACAGAGCUCCUCUGACGAGCAGAGUGAUGCAGCCAGUCUGAACAAGUGCUGGAGCAAGAGGACUGUGGCCUGAAGGAAUCCUCUAAGAACUGCUUGACUGUGGAAAAUGAUGGUCCCUCUCCCAGAGAA